GCCUGCAGCCAUACCACCUUGUGCUGCGGUCUGCUCAGAUCUCAUAAUAAGCUAAACUGGGUCAAGCCAGGUCAGUAUUUAGGUGGGAGACCUCCCAGGAAUGAUUAGAUGCUGCAAAAA
ensembl:rRNA 5S_rRNA 5S ribosomal RNA